AGGAUUUGGGAACUUCUAUCGUAAGUUCAUCCGAAACUUUGCCCACCUGACGGCGCCCAUUACGGACUGUCUCAGCAGUAAGAAGAAAUUCGUUUGGACUGAGGAGGCGGAGCGAGCAUUUGAGGAACUAAAAAGGGCCUUCGCCUCGGAACAACAACUCCUGCAUGUGGAUUUACAAAAACCGAUGAGAGUGGAAACUGACGCAUCAGACAGAGCGAUUGGGGCGGUGCUGCUGCAGCCAGGGAAGGAGGAGUCAGAGUGGAGACCGUGUGCUUUUUUUUUCGCGAAAGCUGAACAAAUCCGAGAGGAACUACACGGUGUAUGACCGAGAACUACUAGCCAUUCAUGAGGCGUUCCGGAGAUGGAGGCACCUGCUAAUUGGCGCACAACAUAAGGUGCAAGUGUGCACUGACCACAAGAACCUAGAGUAUUGGAGGACGGCACGAGUGCUCAACCAACG